rnacentral:lncRNA from 1 species
ACUCAAAUCCAAAAUUUGCAAAUCUUAGACCUGCUAACCCAAAUCCUAUAACCCAUAUAUCCAAAUCUGGUAACCCAAAAUUCUACUAACCUGUUAACCCGUAAAACAAAAACCAAUAUCCAAAGCUUGUUAGGCCAAAACUAAAAGCUUAAAUCUCUAACACCUCAACUUAAAUGCCUUGAUCUGAUAACCCUUAUUUCUUCCUUUCCCCAUUCAUUCCCAACCAAACCAAGACUAAAUUAUAGAUCUAAUUAGGGUUAAUAUUAGCAUAAAUUGAGAGAACCCAUGGGCUUACCUGGAGCAUUAGAAGGCUACUGCAUGGCAACAACCUUCUACCAAAUGUAGCAAUCCUAAAACCAGAUCAAAUUAUC